AUUUCUUUGGGCUGCUCCCACAGCAUAUGGAGGUUUCCAGGCUAGGGGUCGAAUCGGAGGUUCCAGGCUAGGGGUCGAAUCGGAGCUGUAGCCACUGGCCUACACCAGAGCCACGGCAACGCUGGAUCCGAGCCGCGUCUGCAACCUACACCACAGCUCACGGCAACGCCGGAUCGUUAACCCACUGAACAAGGGCAGGGAUCAAACCCGCAACCUCAUGGUUCCUAGUCGGAUUCGUUAACCACUGAGCCAUGACGGGAACUCCCAGAAACCAAGAAAUUCUCAUGGUUAAACUGGAGAUUAAUUACAGGGAAGCAGUGUUAGCUAAGCCCGCAAAGAUAAAUUCUAUCCAGAUCAUAGAAGGCCUGGUCCACUGAAAAGUCAUUAGAAUGUCUUUGGGGCGUUCCCCUUGUGGCUCUAUGGUAACAAUCCUGACUAGUAUCCAUGAGGAUGCAGGUUCGAUCCCUGGCCUCGCACAAUGGGUUAAGGAUCUGGCAUUGCUGUGAGCUGUGGUGAAGGUUACAGACUUGGCUCAGAUCCCCCAUUGCUGUGGCUGAGGCAUAGGCUGGCAGCUGCAGCUCCAAUUUGAUCUCUAGCCUGGGAACCUCCAUGAAGAGACAGAGAGAAGCUAGAAAUAAGGAAAUUCAUGAGGAAAUGUCUGCAACAGGAGUAAUGAAAGGCCUUAAAUUAUGGCUGUGCUAAAGAACAGGAAAGAAAGGAAUAAAUAUGAAAAUUAUAUAGAAAAUCUAUCCAUACUGGACUCGGUAACCACUAAGAGAUGGAGGAGGACAGAAAGGUGAAGUAUAUUUAGAGUUUGAUUUCCAUAACUGGAGGAAGAACAAUAUCAUUAAGGUCCAGAGUGAGCAGGGGCAAGACCUGGCUUGAGAGCUGGAAUUCAACAGAUGGGAUACAAUUUGGGAAGUACUAACACAACAACCAAACAAAAAACAUUACAUCUAAAGGUAACUAUAGGUAUCAGAAGCACAGAUGUGAGUCAAGACAAGAUGAGUGUGAGGAAGUAAAAACAAGUGAAGUCUACAUUCCAGAAUUGUGAAGCUAAAGAAAAGGAGAAAAAAGGGAGACUUUGAAUAGCUGGUAGGGUUUGAAUCCACUUGUUUUGUUUCUUGUGAUUUUAGAGCAGAUAAACCAAAGUGCAUUUGUUCCAAAGUGAAAGGAGCCAAACAGAGAGGGUAACAUCAGGGAUUCAAUAAGGAUUAGUAACACCACAGUGUCCAGAGGGUGAGGUAUCCAAAUUCAAGCCUUCAAAAUAAGCCUUAAGAAAAAUAAGUUGUUUUUCCAGUCUUGAAAUAGAGGAGAAAGGAUGUGAAGAUAAAGGGAUAGUCUGGGAUAGAAAUGUAGGAAGAAGCUAAGCGUCACAUCGGACAACUCUGACCUGAUAAUAUGUCAGACUGUAUCAUUCUUUAAAUAUGUGGAGGCGAAAGAGAUAGGGAAGGAGAUGGAAUUUUAAAGAAAGUGGAAAGGGCCUGAAAUUGCAGCUCUGUGGAAUGUUCAAGAAAGUAACAAAGAGAUGAAUGUAAGAACUAUUGAGCAAUAGUGCUGGUUUGGUUGAACUUUUUAUUAAAACAAUUCCUUUGCUGUGACAACCAUUACUGAGCUAAAAGAUGAAGUAUUUUGAAAUUGUCCACUUUUAGUGGGAACCAAUAUACUUCCCAAAGACUUCAAGAAAAUCAAAGUGUGUAGUAAAAAUACUAUACUCUAGAUUAAAAAAAAUCAUAAAAGUGUUCUCUUCAAAUUGAGGAGCAAGACAUUAUUAAAUAAAAUAUGACCUAAGUGUGUCUAAGUGAAGUUGUUAGACAUUUUGGGUACAUGGCAAGGAGCCACUGCACUUCAUGUUUGAUUUAUCUGCAAGAAAACCUGCUGCCCUUAAACCUCGGGAGACCUUUUGCAUAUUAAGGAGACAAAUUGUGUCAAUACUACAUAUGUUUAAAAGUUACUGUGAAUCCAUAAAGAGAGUGAUUAUUUUGAAAACAACCACAAAGAUAUUUUUAGAAACCGUGGGGUUUAUAUUUAUGCCAUAACAUACUGACCACAAUUAUAAACUUCCAGUUAUAUAGAGUAUGGAGAGAAAUCUAUACAUGUAUGAACAAAGAGACAGUAACAGAACUCUCCAUGUAAUUGCAAAGGGUGUUAAGUAAAAUGAUUUGUCCAACUAUUCUUUGGUAAAUCUAAGCACUUCAGAACAAUAUAAUAAUCAUCUGCCUACGAAAUUGUUGAGAAUCAGUGGUUGAGAGAGAAAACUUAACAACUUUCAUCCCAUGUAUCCUGGCAGGGCAAGUUCCGUAGCAGUUUUAAGAACAGUCACUGUUCUAUAAGUUCUUUUGUACCAUUUUUUGUUAGAGUCCACAUAUUAGUGAUCGCAUAUGUUAUAUCUUUGUCUUUCUGACAUACUUCAUUUAACAUGAUCAUUUCUAGGUCCAUCCAUGUUGCUGCAAAUGGUAUUAUUUCAUUCCUUUAUAUAAUAGUAGGUAGGGGGUAUAGAUUUUUCUAUAUAUAAAAUAAAUAGGUAACAAGGACUUACUGUAUAGCACAGGGUAAUAUAAUCAAUACUAUUUAAUAACCUAUAUGUGAAAAUAAUCUGAACAGGAAAGGGCACAUGUAUAUGUAUAACUGAUUUAGUUUGCUAUACACCUGAAUCUAACACAACUUUCUAAGUAAACUAUAUUCCAAUAAAAUCUAUUUCAAGAAGAAGAAGGAGAGGGAGAAGGAGGAGGAGGAGAAGAAGGAGAAAGAGGGGGAGGAGGAAGGGGAAGAGAAUAAGAAAGGUCCCUUUUUCUAGAUUUCCUGGUGCCCAACAAGGUAUCUGAUCUUCACUGGCAGAUAAAAGGCGGUCUAUGUGAGCUUGAGUUGCAACUAAUCUUGCUACCUCUGCAUGAGCACAUAGCAUGCAGAGAAAUAUGCCAUGGAAAUUAAUGAGAAGACUCUGCGUGGGAGGCCAAUCUCAUUCUCUGCCAGAGUCUGUGCUUUCAUUAAUCAUGGUGGAAGGUACUUUUAGGCACUCUUAAUCCUUUUGGGUUUUCACAUACACCUCUCUGUGAACAUCAUGGCUUCUGUGGGGACUCGGGGGAGACGUAACUUUGCCAUCAGGUAUAGUUUUUGCCAGUAUUUUCUGAAAUCCAUUCCUUUUUCACAACAAAUUUUAUUUUACCAUUCUCAUCUUCAUUUCCCAUCCUCCCAGAUUUCAUAUUUUGGAGCACUGAGAAACAACAAUAUGACUCAUCACACUACAUUACAAAUGCUUACUUCUUUUUAUCUCUUAAUGACAGAGGGGGGAUACACAGAACUACAGGCAGGAGUGCAGGUACUAGGAACCAGGAGAGCUCUAUACCAGUGGGAUAAUGUGAACAGAGCUUGUGAUGCACCUUCCAGAAUUUGCUUCUUCACUCUUCAAGCAAGAAAGACUUGGUAUUCUCUAACUAUCCUUUCCUGGUCUAUUACAUCAUGUACAGUAGUGUAAGUGACACGUUUGUUCAUAUAAAAGACAAUGGAAAAGGCCAGUUGGGCUAUUAAGACUUCACAUUAAAAAGAAAAACUCAAGCUUUGGUACAGUUGAUCUGAGAGGGGUGAGAACAUUCAUGCUGUAGAGCAGUUUCAGAAACUGACUCACAUAGUCGAGAUAAAUUAGGAACAAAUCAUUGUAUUAGAUAACGUGUGUAUAUAGUACAUAUAAAUUUGUGUAUAUAUGUGUCCUAUUUUUCCCAUAAAUGAGAAAACAUACCAAAUAUUUUAACUCAUUACUUGGCAAUUACAUAUAGUAUUGGGACUGGGGCUGCAUAUUCUAGUCUUUUUGAUUCCUAUGACAGCUUUAACUCUACUGCAUUACUUGAACAAAAUGCUACAGUGAAAUUCUUGAUUGAAAGUCUUGAGUCCUGAGUCUUGCAAAAUGUUGGGGCUUUUAUAACUAAUAAUCUAUAAUUAGAGAGCUGGAGAUAGCCUGGAUCUUGGGCCACUGGCCAGAUAGAGGACAACACAGAGGUGUGUAGACAGAGAGCCACAUUUUUGUUUUUUCUCGGCACAGACAAAAGUAACAAGGAAAUCCCACAAUGGUUCUAAGGACCCCUGUCCUGCCAUGUUCUCUCUUGAGAUAAUAAAGUUCAGGUGAACUCUAAAUGUAAUAUUUGGUGAAGGAUGGUUCAUCUGAAACAUAAGAAUACAAAUGAUGGGAAGUGAAUAAUGUGGCAACGAUUAAUGGACACCUUAAACAUGUCUCAUACUGUGGUACAAACUUUACAUGUAUGGUUUGCUUCCUCUUCACAACUAUCUACUAAAAUGAGUAUUACUUUCAUUCCUAUUUCACAUAUGAAGAUAUUAGGGCUUAGAAAGUUUAAUUUACUUGGUCAAGGAGAUGGCUUAAUAACUGGCAGAGUGGGGAGAAAAGUUUGCAUCUGCCUCUUUCCCAUUUCUAUGCUCUGUUCAGGGCAUCAAAUUAUACCUAUGGGCAUCCUGCAUACCUCAGAGAGCUCACUCCCUCCAAGGGGGCAAGGAUCCUCUAAUCUUCCACUAGUACUUCUAAAUUUAGAAUCUUUGCUAAAUGUUUCAUUAACUUAGUAAUCUUUUUAUUUAAUGAAAACACUUCUCACUCAUAUAUUAAGCUUAAAAGAAAACCAACAUGAUUUUAAAAUGUCUUAUGUAUAUGUCACAUGAAAAUAUAUACGCUUAACUUCCUCAUCUAAUUGUCAUAUUAGCUUGCUGCUGGGAACUCUGAGCAAUCUGUAUUCUUGAAGUCAUGCUAUUUGUCAAUAAUUCAGAGAGAUUUUAAGAAUGUACACCACAAUUAUUUAUUGCUUUACCCAAAGUCUUCCAGAAUUUAUAGUCCCUAAUCUGUAGUAUAUAUUUUAUGAAUCCUUAAGUAUGCAAAAAGUAAGAGAGGAGUCCAAUUCCAGUUCAAUUUAAGCUAUUGCCCUUGGAAAGAACUACAUUAUUAAAGUUUGAUCAUAUAUUUUGCUGUCAUGUCUGUGGCUAAUGUACUUUCUUCAGCCCAUGCCCUGAUUAGUUUGUAGUCAUUAUUUAAAACCAUUCUAUGAGUGUUUGUUGGUAGGAAAAUGCUUGAUUCAGAUCUCAGUAAAUGUCACUGCUGCCUCACCAUUAAAUCUUACUCAAUUGUUGGCACUUACUGUUUUUGGAGCACUUAAUAUUUUUGAGAAGAAAAUAAUGGUUAUUUAUUUAGGUUUCCAACUUCUCUGAAUUGCUUUUAACACAUGUAACAUACAAAAAUCUGUAAGAAUUCUGAGAUGUCAAAACCUGUAUUAUUGACACACAUAUUUAUUUCACCAAUGGGCUUUAUAACUGCCAUUCAACAGCACCUGAUAAAUUAUUUUGACAGCUCAUUCAAAAAGUUUAGGGCUUUUUAAAUGUUUUAAAUUCAUCAUAUUUGAGGUUUUAAAAAAUAUUUAAGAAUACUUAUUUUGCUAUUUCUGAUCAAUCUGACUCUCUACACAGUUUAAAACAUCUCAAACAGCAAAAUACGCAUAAAUUUAAGAAACAUCAGUUUGAGACUCACAAACAAAACACUUAUUUAAGGUGCUCUAGGGCCAAGGAGGAGAACACAGCAUUGUUCUGUUUGAUUAGUUCCAACUGUUUUCUUCUUCAGUUCACUAGAGAAUUAGUUUAUGAAAUGCCUGUGAUCUGAGAUUAACAGAUGCCACCAUUCUGUUUUACAUGAUAAAGUGAAUCCCAUGGCAUUUAUGGAUUUUUCUUUUUGAAAAGUGAAAUGCAGUUGAGCAUGGCAGUGAAAGCCUUAACCAGAUCUCUUGAGUUAGAAUCCUGACUCUUCCUGUUCCAACUUGUGUGACCUUGAGCAUGUCUCAAUCACAAGUUAUUAUCUGGAAACUGGUGAUUAAAUAGUAUCCACUUCAUAGUAACCGUUAAAGGAUUAAAUAAAUCUGGUGUACUCAACAUCUAGAUCAGUGGGGGGCACAAAGCAUGUUCCUAAAGUGUCCCUAUU
rnacentral:lncRNA from 1 species